UGCACUCAAAGUGUUUGUUCAUGUCCCGAAUCCAGUCCUCAGCGUCAAACGGCUGAUCACACGACGUGAAGGUCUUCGGUUGGUUUGCCAGGAAUUGACUGAGAGUAGCAAACUGAUUACCACCAUGGUUGAUGUUGCCCUGCUGCUGAUUAGUUCUUUCUCGAAACAGCUAGAUCAGCAUCUGAGUGUUAGCAUUUGUUGC
rnacentral:lncRNA from 1 species